AAUAGAUACCCGGGUAGUCCACGCCGUAAACGAUGAGUGCUAAGUGUUAGGGGGUUUCCGCCCCUUAGUGCUGCAGCUAACGCAUUAAGCACUCCGCCUGGGGAGUACGGUCGCAAGACUGAAACUCAAAGGAAUUGACGGGGGCCCGCACAAGCGGUGGAGCAUGUGGUUUAAUUCGAAGCAACGCGAAGAACCUUACCAGGUCUUGACAUCCCAUUGACCACUAUGGAGACAUAGUUUUCCCUUCGGGGACAACGGUGACAGGUGGUGCAUGGUUGUCGUCAGCUCGUGUCGUGAGAUGUUGGGUUAAGUCCCGCAACGAGCGCAACCCUUGUUCUUAGUUGCCAUCAUUUAGUUGGGCACUCUAAGGAGACUGCCGGUGACAAACCGGAGGAAGGUGGGGAUGACGUCAAAUCAUCAUGCCCCUUAUGACCUGGGCUACACACGUGCUACAAUGGACGGUACAAACGGUUGCCAACCCGCGAGGGGGAGCUAAUCCGAUAAAACCGUUCUCAGUUCGGAUUGUAGGCUGCAACUCGCCUACAUGAAGGCC
rnacentral:rRNA from 1 species